GAGCAGCAGGCAGGAGCUGCCUCACACGUGUCCUGCUAUGGAAGCUAUCAUCCCCCCUCCCUCCGCCUCUCUCCCACCACAAAAUAAAGGGGGACCCAGCGGGCGGUGCCAGCGCCUCUGCUUUUCAGUGUGGCCCUUGGGGCUCCUGAAAGAGCCGUGUGUGACUCAGGUUCGAGGCCUCAGCAGGGAUCCUGUUUCAGGUCGGCUAGGAGCAGCGUGAUGUUGCCCACAUGGGAGAUUCGCGGGGCCUCCAGGUGUCCCCAGAACCACACUUCGGAGGGACAGAUGGGGCAGAAGGAGCCAUGGCUCCCAGAGCCUCCUGACUGGCUGGCGAGGUAGCUGGGAGGAGCCCUGGGGGUGUCCAGGCGGCCGGAGGUGGCAGGGCGGCACGGCAGUGUGGGGUCUCAGGUGGGGCCGGGAGGCGCUCUCGAUUCCUAAAGCAACCACGGCUGAGCUCCCAGGGGCGCCCGAGGGGCCCAGACCCUAAUAACGGAAAGCCGUGGAAACCAGGCUCUCGGCAGGAACAGAGCUCACGGCGCCCCACGGAAGUUCACGGGGACUGAGCCGCACGGGGGCGAAGGAUUUCGGGGACGCGAGGCAGAGAGAGACAGGAAGGAGGGACGGUGCGCAGAUUGACGACCCAAAGGCCGGUGUCGUGGAAAUGAGCCAGUCACGUGACCUGUGGUCGUCCACGCAGCCCUGGAAACGCUCAAGACCCCGCACUCCGCCCAAGCGGACGUCUUAAGCCUCUGCUUCCGGUGCUGAGAGCUCUGAACACCCUGGAAGGCACCAAAGCUCAACGCGUUUUAUAAAAGAAACCAAACCCAGCAGCUCAAAAUAUCUCAGCAGACACCAGCAUAAGGAAUCAGUAAAAUCCUCAACGGCUGAUCUGCCGCGAUUUAGGGAACCCAUGGAAGGAGACACCUGGUGGAGAGUUGGCUUGACAUUUAAAAACUAACUAUAGCUGGGAGGGUAGUGCAUGUUUGCAAUCCCAGCACUCCGGGAGGCCGAGGCAAGAGGAUCUCAAGCGCCAAUCUAGCCUGGGGAACUUAGCAAGAACUUGUCUCAAAAACAACAAAACCAAGACCUGCACAUCACAAAUUAAAAUUCCAAACAGCACCAGAAGGUACACCAUGAAAUAGCAGCAUCUUUGAUUUUCCAAUAUCCUCACCGGCAACUGGUUUUUGUCUG